GGUGAAGAACGCAGCGAAAUGCGAUAAGUAAUGUGAAUUGCAGAAUUCAGUGAAUCAUCGAAUCUUUGAACGCACAUUGCGCCCGCCAGAAUUCUGGCGGGCAUGCCUGUUCGAGCGUCAUUUCAACCCUCGGUCUCCCUCCGGGAGAGACCGGCGUUGGGGACCGGCACUUACCCCGCCGGCCCCGAAAUGAAGUGGCGGCCCGUCCGCGGCGACCUCUGCGUAGUAACUCCACUCGCACCGGGACCCGGGCGCGGCCACGCCGUAAAACCCCCAACUUCCGAAUGUUGACCUCGAAUCAGGUAGGAAUACCCGCUGAACUUAAGCAUAUCAAUAAGCGGAGGA
rnacentral:misc_RNA from 1 species